rnacentral:rRNA from 1 species
GAUGAACGCUGGCGGCGUGCCUAAUACAUGCAAGUCGAGCGAACGGACGAGAAGCUUGCUUCUCUGAUGUUAGCGGCGGACGGGUGAGUAACACGUGGAUAACCUACCUAUAAGACUGGGAUAAAUUCGGGAAACCGGAGCUAAUACCGGAUAAUAUUUUGAACCGCAUGGUUCAAAAGUGAAAGACGGUCUUGCUGUCACUUAUAGAUGGAUCCGCGCUGCAUUAGCUAGUUGGUAAGGUAACGGCUUACCAAGGCAACGAUGCAUAGCCGACCUGAGAGGGUGACCGGCCACACUGGAACUGAGACACGGUCCAGACUCCUACGGGAGGCAGCAGUAGGGAAUCUUCCGCAAUGGGCGAAAGCCUGACGGAGCAACGCCGCGUGAGUGAUGAAGGUCUUCGGAUCGUAAAACUCUGUUAUUAGGGAAGAACAUAUGUGUAAGUAACUGUGCACAUCUUGACGGUACCUAAUCAGAAAGCCACGGCUAACUACGUG